GUCCACGCCGUAAACGAUGUCGAUUUGGAGGUUGUGCCCUUGAGGCGUGGCUUCCGGAGCUAACGCGUUAAAUCGACCGCCUGGGGAGUACGGCCGCAAGGUUAAAACUCAAAUGAAUUGACGGGGGCCCGCACAAGCGGUGGAGCAUGUGGUUUAAUUCGAUGCAACGCGAAGAACCUUACCUGGUCUUGACAUCCACAGAACUUUCCAGAGAUGGAUUGGUGCCUUCGGGAACUGUGAGACAGGUGCUGCAUGGCUGUCGUCAGCUCGUGUUGUGAAAUGUUGGGUUAAGUCCCGCAACGAGCGCAACCCUUAUCCUUUGUUGCCAGCGGUCCGGCCGGGAACUCAAAGGAGACUGCCAGUGAUAAACUGGAGGAAGGUGGGGAUGACGUCAAGUCAUCAUGGCCCUUACGACCAGGGCUACACACGUGCUACAAUGGCAUAUACAAAGAGAAGCGACCUCGCGAGAGCAAGCGGACCUCAUAAAGUAUGUCGUAGUCCGGAUUGGAGUCUGCAACUCGACUCCAUGAAGUCGGAAUCGCUAGUAAUCGUAGAUCAGAAUGCUACGGUGAAUACGUUCCCGGGCCUUGUACACACCGCCCGUCACACCAUGGGAGUGGGUUGCAAAAGAAGUAGGUAGCUUAACCUUCGGGAGGGCGCUUACCACUUUGUGAUUCAUGACUGGGGUGAAGUCGUAACAAGGUAACCGUAGGGGAACCUGCGGUUG
rnacentral:rRNA from 1 species